AAAUAUGGAGGAGAACCUCCGACAAACCUUCAUGGCAUUUACUGAUUUAAUUCCGCGCACCUCCUCCAAUUUAUCUUCAUCGAUUCCUGUUUUUUUAUUUUAUCCUCAACUUAUAGCUUUCAAUUUCGUCUUGAUUGAAGGUAAAAUUCUUGAGUUGUUUUUUAUUACCCAAAUGGUGCCACGAAGAAGAACAAGGCACAGCCGAGCGACGAUGGUUCGGCCAGUGACCUUGUCGUCGUUUGCUCUAUCUGUUGCUCAUCUUGCUACAGCUUACACAAGCAAGCGUCAAAAGCUUGACGUGAAACUAAAAAGAUCUCUGCCCAGGGCACCAGCUUGAUUUUGCGUUGGGAGAUGGAUUUGUUAAGCAGUCACCAGAAGAGAAGAGUAAAGAAUCUGAGUCUUCUGAGGACGAAGAGUUCCAAGAUAAUAAAUGUAUCAUGGAGAUCAAGGAGUUCCUCAUCAAAGUUUGUUAGGACAGAAAUGUAAUGGAUGAUUUCAAAUUAAUUUGGGAAGAGCAAGCACAUGAUGUAGGUCUCUUGGUCUCUUAGCGUGUUGCCAAUCUUCCUCCCCAACUUUUACCACCUCUUUAUGAUGCUUUCUUCAAUGAAGUUUCAUGGGCUACAGAAGAUGAACCAACAGAGGAGCUCAGGAAUGCUUUCUGCUUCAAGUCCUAUUCGAUAGUUGGUAAAAUUUACAAGCACAAGAAUGCAAGCCACAAAAAGGGGGGAAACAGUCAUAAUGAGGAAUUGAUAAUAUAUAUUAAGCGUGAAGAUGAAUUUUUUCAUAAGCUCUGCUUGUGGUCCUUCUGUUUUCCUUUGCACUCGGAUCAUGUGACAACUCAUGAGCUAAGAAAUUACAGGUUAAUGGGGUUAGUCAUGGUUGUUGACGCAAACAAAAUUUCUAUUUUUCGUGAGGAGUUGCACUCUUUGAUUAAUGAACCCUUAAGUCCUUUUAAAGGUUUUAUGGGGUACCAAAGUUUUGAUUUCUUCCUUUACCAGGAGCAACUAAUCGGGUUUGAGGAGGAAUCCUUUUUGCAUUUACAAUAUCCAUCCAACCUUUUAUGAAACAAGUUUAUGGAAUCUUAAAAAUUAACUUUUUAGAUAGGUACGCUAAUAUUUAUUUGUUGGGAUUCUUCUGUGAUUCAAGUUAUUUUCUUUCCCUUUAAUCUAGCUUUUUAUUUUCCUGUUUUGCGCAACAA